UAGUCCACGCCGUAAACGAUGAGUGCUAGAUAUCGGAAAUUAAACUUUCGGUUUCGUAGCUAACGCAUUAAGCACUCCGCCUGGGGACUACGGUCGCAAGAUUAAAACUCAAAGGAAUUGACGGGGGCUCGCACAAGUGGUGGAGCAUGCGGUUUAAUUCGAUGCUACGCGAAAAACCUUACCAACCCUUGACAUGGUGGUCGCGAGAGAUAGAGAUAACUCUCUUCAGUUAGGCUGGACCACACACAGGUGUUGCAUGGCUGUCGUCAGCUCGUGUCGUGAGAUGUUGGGUUAAGUCCCGCAACGAGCGUAACCCUCAUCCUUAGUUGCCAUCAGGUUUGGCUGGGCACUUUAAGGAAACUGCCGGUGGUAAGCCGGAGGAAGGUGGGGAUGACGUCAAGUCCCCAUGGCCCUUACGGGUAGGGCUACACACGUGCUACAAUGGUAGUGACAAUGGGAUAAUCCCCAAAAGCUAUCUCAGUUCGGAUUGUCGUCUGCAACUCGACGGCAUGAAGGUGG
rnacentral:rRNA from 1 species